GAAGGAUCAAGUAAAUUCCAUUCUUCCCCAGUGAAGUUCACAUGCACAUCAUCAAAAGUCACUGCAUUUGCUCCAGAACCACAUAGAAGAGGGCCCAAGGACCUCGACUGCCAUCUUCUAAUGUAUGUCUUGUCUUCAACAGCCUCAUAGAGAGUGGAUGUCGUCUUGGUCUCAACUACUCCUUUCCAUUCAAAUGUAUACUUUAGAUAU